rnacentral:rRNA from 1 species
AGUUUGAUCCUGGCUCAGAUUGAACGCUGCGGCAGGCUUAACACAUGCAAGUCGAACGAAUGAAACUCUAGCUUGCUAGAGAUGAUUAGUGGCGGACGGGUGAGUAACAUUUAGGAAUCUGCCUAGUAUGGGGGAUAGCUCGGGGAAACUCGAAUUAAUACCGCAUACGACCUACGGGUGAAAGGGGGCGCAAGCUCUUGCUAUUAGAUGAGCCUAAAUCAGAUUAGCUAGUUGGUGGGGUAAAGGCCUACCAAGGCGACGAUCUGUAACUGGUCUGAGAGGAUGAUCAGUCACACCGGAACUGAGACACGGUCCGGACUCCUACGGGAGGCAGCAGUGGGGAAUAUUGGACAAUGGGGGCAACCCUGAUCCAGCCAUGCCGCGUGUGUGAAGAAGGCCUUUUGGUUGUAAAGCACUUUAAGCAGGGAGGAGAGGCUAAUGGUUAAUACCCAUUAGAUUAGACGUUACCUGCAGAAUAAGCACCGGCUAACUCUGUG